GCUUGUCUCAAAGAUUAAGCCAUGCAUGUCUAAGUACAAGCCUCAGUAAGGUGAAACCGCGAAUGGCUCAUUAAAUCACACCUAAUCUACUGGAAAGUUACUAGUUACUUGGAUAACUGAGGUAAUUCUUGAGCUAAUACAUGCGAAAAAUCUCGACUCACGGAGAGAUGCUUUUAUUAGAUCAAAACCAAACGGCUUCGGCCGUCUCAUUGGUGAUUCAUGGUAACCGAACGAAUCGCACGGCACCAGCUGGCGAUGGACCAUUUCAGUUUCUGACCUAUCAGCUUCCGACGGUAGGAUAUGGGCCUACCGUGGCAAUGACGGGUAACGGAGAAUUAGGGUUCGAUUCCGGAGAGGGAGCCUGAGAAACGGCUACCACAUCUAAGGAAGGCAGCAGG
rnacentral:rRNA from 1 species